AUUGAACGCUGGCGGCAUGCCUUACACAUGCAAGUCGAACGGUAACAGGUCUUCGGAUGCUGACGAGUGGCGAACGGGUGUGUAAUACAUCGGAACGUGCCUAGUAGUGGGGGAUAACUACUCGAAAGAGUGGCUAAUACCGCAUGAGAUCUACGGAUGAAAGCAGGGGAUCGCAAGACCUUGUGCUACUAGAGCGGCCGAUGGCAGAUGAGGUAGUUGGUGGGAUAAAAGCUUACCAAGCCGACGAUCUGUAGCUGGUCUGAGAGGACGAUCAGCCACACUGGAACUGAGACACGGCCCAGACUCCUACGGGAGGCAGCAGUGGGGAAUUUUGGACAAUGGGCGAAAGCCUGAUCCAGCAAUGCCGCGUGCAGGAUGAAGGCCUUCGGGUUGUAAACUGCUUUUGUACGGAACGAAAAGCCCCGGGUUAAUACCCUGGGGUCAUGACGGUACCGUAAGAAUAAGCACCGGCUAACUACGUGCCAGCAGCCGCCGUAA
rnacentral:rRNA from 1 species